CAGGAUUCAUUAACCCGUUCAACUGAUGACCAUUUAAACUCUGACUAACUUUAGUUGAUAAACAGCUGACGUGUAGCUUUGUGUCUGUUGAUACAAUAAACUUUCU